rnacentral:rRNA from 1 species
GACGAACGCUGGCGGCGUGCUUAACACAUGCAAGUCGAACGGAAAGGCCCUGCUUGCAGGGUACUCGAGUGGCGAACGGGUGAGUAACACGUGGGUGAUCUGCCCUGCACUUCGGGAUAAGCCUGGGAAACUGGGUCUAAUACCGGAUAGGAGCCAUUUUUAGUGUGAUGGUUGGAAAGUUUUUUCGGUGUAGGAUGAGCUCGCGGCCUAUCAGCUUGUUGGUGGGGUAAUGGCCUACCAAGGCGGCGACGGGUAGCCGGCCUGAGAGGGUGGACGGCCACAUUGGGACUGAGAUACGGCCCAGACUCCUACGGGAGGCAGCAGUGGGGAAUAUUGCACAACGGGCGCAAGCCUGAUGCAGCGACGCCGCGUGGGGGAUGACGGCCUUCGGGUUGUAAACUCCUUUCGCUAGGGACGAAGCUUUUUGUGACGGUACCUAGAUAAGAAGCACCGGCUAACUACGUGCCAGCAGCCGCGGUAAUACGUAGGGUGCGAGCGUUGUCCGGAAUUACUGGGCGUAAAGGGCUCGUAGGUGGUUUGUCGCGUCGUCUGUGAAAUUCCGGGGCUUAACUCCGGGCGUGCAGGCGAUACGGGCAUAACUUGAGUACUGUAGGGGUAACUGGAAUUCCUGGUGUAGCGGUGAAAUGCGCAGAUAUCAGGAGGAACACCGAUGGCGAAGGCAGGUUACUGGGCAGUUACUGACGCUGAGGAGCGAAAGCAUGGGUAGCGAACAGG